rnacentral:rRNA from 1 species
UUGUAACUUCUUUUAUAUGGGAAUAAAGUCGAGCCACGUGUGGAUUUUUGCAUGUACCUUAUGAAUAAGGAUCGGCUAACUCCGUGCCAGCAGCCGCGGUAAUACGGAGGAUCCGAGCGUUAUCCGGAUUUAUUGGGUUUAAAGGGAGCGUAGAUGGAUUGUUAAGUCAGUUGUGAAAGUUUGCGG